UCUAAAAGUAUCGGUUGAUGUUGCAUUAGAUAUGGAUGUGUUGCUAGCGAUACUUGACAUUGUUUCAGAGACAACAUUGAUGCGAGAUGCAAUAAGAUCAUUUGUUGCAUGGCCGUCAGACUUUAUUUUCAUAGAUGAUGAGGUAUGUUGAAAACCAUUAUGAAUAUUUUAGUAUUUAAAUUUGAAUUCUGAACCAUUACGUACAUUUUUAUUACAUGUUAGUUUUAGACUCCUACAAAACCCGCAUCUAAGGAUAAAGGGAUUUUGUGGCAUAGCGAGUCUAUUUCAUCACAAAAAGAGGUACCUGCUCAAGAGUCACAACAUGUGAGCCAGAAAAUUAGUAGCUUACCCAACAAGAAAAUGGAUCUUCCAAGAACCGUGGCUAGAAAACCUUUUGUACCUCGAUUCUGGAUGUGUCUUGAAACACUUGUGGGAACAUCCGAUUUGAUGAAUGGUGCUAUUUGUCAAAUGGAUAUGGAGGAAUGUAUCUUUGGUUUUUCUUGCUCCGAAAUAAUUGCAAAGAGGAAAUGGAAUAGAUUUUUCAGUAUACAGAAUUAGGCAUCGGUGUUGUAUACUCAUACAUCCGACAAUGCGAUCAAUCUAUUAUUUAAUUAGUCGAACAACUUAUUUACACAUUUCAAUGAAAAUAGCCUAAUGUUUAUUAUGUUUUUAAUUAAGGUUCUUGUAUGAAAAAUUGAUGCGCAGGAAUCAAUUGUCAAACAAAUUCCAUUUCGUGUCUGCCUCCCGUGUCAAUGGAGCGGCAAUUGUUAAGGAUCCACAUUCAGUACGAUAUCACUUAGUUGAGACAUUCAUGGCCAACAGUACAGAAAGUUUGUACCUUUUACCGUAUAAUACUAUUCCUGUAGGACGUCACUGGGUGUUGGUUGCUAUUGAUCCUUUCAAAUAAGUGGCGUAUUAUCUGAAUUCGGUAGAUGGUGAUUGGAGAAAUUAUCCAGAUAUGAAGUUAAUGAUUGAUACAUCAAUACAAGUAUUUUGCUCUCAAAGAGAAGCUCGAGUAUCACGGUCUAUAUCAAGCAACAUUACAUGGAUCAAAGUGGAGUGUACUGAACAACGUAAUAGUAUAGAUUGCGGAUACUUUGUUAUGAGGUUUAUGAAAGAAGUCCUUCAUUUGAAUCGAAUAGAGAUGCCAAUCACGUACUUUGAUGAAUGCAAGUGUGCUCAUUACACGAAAAAUUAAUUGGAAGAAAUCAAGGAGGAAUCGUGUGAAUACUUUAUUGAGAAAAGAAUCAUAUAAGGACCAAAAAUAGUCCGCUCGUCAAAUUUUGGCGAUUUCGGGCUGAUUUUGUUAAGGUUGAUUUAGUUAUUGUUAGGGCUGAUUUUGGUUCUGUUGCAAACAUGUGAAUUGAAUUAUAAUGGU